rnacentral:lncRNA from 1 species
UUUUAUUUAUUUACUCAUAGAGACAGAGAGAGAGAGGCAGAGACACAGGCAGAGGGAGAAGCAGGCUCCAUGCAGGGAGCCCGACGUGGGACUCGAUCCAGGGUCUCCAGGAUCACGCCUUGGGCUGCAGGCGGCACUAAACCGCUGCGCCACCGGGGCUGCCCACGAAGAUAUCCUUUAAAGCAAACUGGUAUAUCCAUACAAUAGAAUACUUCUGCCAUAUAAAGGAAUGAGAUAUCAAGCCAUACGAAAACGCAUGAAUACAUAUUGUUAAGUGAAAGAAGACAGUAUGUCAGAUGACAGGAAAGCAACAGGGGAGGUAAACAGAAUAGUGGUUAUCAGGAGUUCCACUGAGGGGGAGGUGGUUUGAGUGCAGCAUAUGGGAUUUUAGGACAAUGAAACUUUUCCUUAUCCUACUGUAAUGGUAGAUACGACAAUAUGCAAUUGUCAAUAUCCAUAUAGAACUUUACAACACAAAGGUGAAACUUAAAAUUCCAAAAUAAAAAAAUUAAAAUUUAGGAAGUUAUGGAACACUAGGAUAGAACCUACACUGUGACAAAAGAAGUUAGCUGUGUACAAAUGUAUGAAACAGCCUUGUUGGAGGGAGUGGGGGGCAGAGCUACUGACCUGAGUAACAUGGAAAUGAGGGUAGUCUUUAAGAUUGAAGGCAAGAGGAACUGCACAUAAACAUUGUACCAUAGUUGAUAGUUAAUUAACUGGAUAGAGAAUAGUAGGAGACAGAUAUCUGCCUGUUGGGGGGUGCGGAAUUUAUAGAUAAGUGGGGGGCAAAAGGUUGAAUAAUUCAUGUGGCAGUACAUUAGAAAUGGAAACAUAAGUAUAAACUCAUGUUUAGCUUAACAUAAAUACAGAUGAAUACAUAUACAAAUAUUUAGCAACAAGCUCAGCAUCUAAAUCUUGGUUUCAAAUACUAUUUUCCAAUAAAAGGAACCAAGGCUCAUUGGAGAAGUUGCUGACUGUAAUACCAAGUCUAGAAAUAUAAAAGAUGAUCCAAGAAUAUCUAUUAGUACCAAAAAGGAAGAAAGUAUUAAAAAAAAAACAAAAUUCCACAAUAAUGGGUAUGUGACAAAUAGACACAAAAUUCAAAUGAAAGAAUUCCCAGUGGCAAAGCUCAUAAAAUUUUAGCCACAAAACCAAUAUGCAUGAGCCUGUGUGGAAAUUAAUAAAUCAUUAAAAAUUUUAACCAACUAGAUAAAUAAGGGAAAUGAAAAAUUUCUCAUCUAGAAAAAUUCUAAAUAAUUUAUUUAGAUAUUCCAGUGUCAAGGCGAGAGAGCCGAACUUCCUACUUCUUAAGUGUAGAUGAUACAUCUUUGCAAGUCCCACAGUAUGGAGAUAGGAAAAAAUGAAUAACUUCACAGUAGAAAAACUUGACAAGCAUGAUGUCAUCAAGAUGAUCAGAUUAACAUCACCAGUUAUAAUUCAUGUUGAUGGUAUGUACCCUCGGUAUGAUAUGGUGAAAAUGGCUCUUCAUUUCUGUGAUCUUUCUUCCCAAAACCAUGACCCCAGUGUAACCAUGAGAAAAACAUUAGACAAAUAUCAAUUUUAAACAACAUUUAACUAGUAAUCCUUAAAACUGUAAAGGUCAUCAAAAUCAAAGUUUAAAGAACUAUCACAACCAAGAAGAUCUUAGACCAUGGGAAUGAAAUGUGGUAUCCUGUGGGAAACUGUGGGACUGAGAAAGGGCAUGAAGGAAAAAUUAAAGAAAUCCAAGUAAAUAUGCACUUCAAUUAAAAACAAAAAACCUUCAAGUCACAGAAUAUUUAUGUGAUUUGCUAAAAAUCGCCGAGCUGGAAAGCAUUGGCACUUGUUGCAUUGGACACCAUUUCCUGUGACUUUGCGUCCAGAGUUCUUUCCAGCAUGAGAGAAAAGAUCUCUUCAGUCUGCAUUCCACAGCCUCAGAUUUCCUCAUAGACAAGUUAUCAACAGUCCAGGAACUAAAAGGUUUAUUUUUGGCAAGAGCCAGAUUUUUCAUCCAGAUACUUCCAUUCCUUUUUGUGAUGAGUUUAUAGAGUAAGGUAGGAGUGAAACACUACAUUGGGUUCAC